GUCUCCGUAGCUCAGCAGGAUAGAGCGCUUCCCUCCUAAGGAAGAGGCCGUGCGUUCGAAUCGCGCCGGGGACACCA
rnacentral:tRNA from 1 species